rnacentral:rRNA from 1 species
CCUACGGGGGGCUGCAGUGGGGAAUAUUGCACAAUGGGCGCAAGCCUGAUGCAGCCAUGCCGCGUGUGUGAAGGAGGCCUUCGGGUUGUAAAGCACUUUCAGCGGGGAGGAAGGCGGUGAGGUUAAUAACCUCAUCGAUUGACGUUACCCGCAGAAGAAGCACCGGCUAACUCCGUGCCAGCAGCCGCGGUAAUACGGAGGGUGCAAGCGUUAAUCGGAAUUACUGGGCGUAAAGCGCACGCAGGCGGUCUGUCAAGUCGGAUGUGAAAUCCCCGGGCUCAACCUGGGAACUGCAUUCGAAACUGGCAGGCUAGAGUCUUGUAGAGGGGGGUAGAAUUCCAGGUGUAGCGGUGAAAUGCGUAGAGAUCUGGAGGAAUACCGGUGGCGAAGGCGGCCCCCUGGACAAAGACUGACGCUCAGGUGCGAAAGCGUGGGAAGCAAACAGGAUUAGAUACCCCUGUAGUC